UACGUAGGGUGCGAGCGUUGUCCGGAAUUAUUGGGCGUAAAGGGCUCGUAGGCGGUCUGUCACGUCGGGAGUGAAAACACGGGGCUUAACCCCGAGCCUGCAGUGGAUACGGGCAGACUAGAGGUAGGUAGGGGAGAAUGGAAUUCCCGGUGUAGCGGUGAAAUGCGCAGAUAUCAGGAGGAACACCGAUGGCGAAGGCGGCAUCCUGGACCGAUACUGACGCUGAGGAGCGAAAGCCAGGGGAGCAAACGGG
rnacentral:rRNA from 1 species